UGGGGAAUCUUGCGCAAUGGGGGAAACCCUGACGCAGCGACGCCGCGUGGGCGACGAAGGCCUUCGGGUUGUAAGCCCUGUGGAGAGGGGCGAAAAGCGGGUGAGGAAAUGCGCCUGAAUUGACGGUACCUCCUUAGCAAGCACCGGCUAACUCUGUGCCAGCAGCCGCGGUAAUACAGAGGGUGCAAACGUUGCUCGGAAUUACUGGGCGUAAAGCGCGUGUAGGAGGUUUCGCGAGUCCGAUGUAAAAGCCCAGAGCUCAACUCUGGAAGUGCAUUGGAUACUACGAAGCUUGAGUGUUGGAGGGGAGAGCGGAAUUUCCGGUGUAGAGGUGAAAUUCGUAGAUAUCGGAAGGAACACCAGUGGCGAAGGCGGCUCUCUGGACAAACACUGACACUGA
rnacentral:rRNA from 1 species